UUUUAAGUUUCGUCGAAAAUGUGAAUGGACGAACCUACUCUCAGACUCGUCAGUCCAGUCUCAGCUUUCAGACCUAAAGCUUUGCUCUUUUCGUUCUUAAAGACUUGAGUAUUCAUCUGAGUGUUUUUCGACGGUGCUUGCAUAAAUAAAAAGAAUGCAAAUCCCGUACUUCAACAUGUUCUGGUGUAACGUUGCGCUCUGGACAAUCCUUCUCCUGUUUUAUAUAGCUUAUUCUACAGCUUGGGUCGUCGAUCAAUGCAUCAUCUGCUGUAGAAGGAAGAAGAAGCAUCAGAAGUGUUCCCAUUCUAUAGAAAUGACAAGUAUCCAGGAUACUCUCUCGGACGACCGUCCUCAGACCGAAAGAGAGGUUUGUCCUCGCCACUCGACAAGCUGCUCUGCCCUCAACGGACGUCAAGGCCUUCCUCAAGACGGGCAUACUCCGCGUCUUCAACAGGCUGAAGAAGUAAGUGUAGUUUCGUCAGUUUCUAGAUGAUGAGACUGCAAUUCUAGACAUCUGAGAAUGAGAAAAGGGGACUUCCGGUAGAAGAAUCUCCAACAAAUUUUAAACUGAGAGAGCAUUUCGAAAACUAGACAAGGAACUUCACGAUGUGAUGGUAAUUGAUGCGGUAGUUUACUGUUGACUGGACGAAGAGUGUGAGCAUUGCAAGAUUAUAGGUUCUUACUACGGCAAAUUGCUGAUGCUGCGAUUAUCCGGGAAAACUAAAUCCCAGGAAGGUAUCUUUCGACAUUCUGUCAGCGUUGCCUUCCUGGAGUUCGUUCAUGGUCACUAAUUCAGAGUCCCCCUAAUUUUAAUGUUAAUUCAGGGACGGUAACAGUUAUGCCAAGUUGUAAGGUAGACAGCAGCAAUUUUGUAUUGUCUUGUAACCACAGGUUACUCUGCUUCAGUGUUUAGCUCUAAGUCCGUUUGUCUACUUGUAUAUCCAUCAUUAAGGGCAAUACUGCUUAAGAGUAUACAUAUGAGUGGAUAUAAAACAGCAAAAUAAUCUUAAUUGUGUGUUUUUGAGAGACCUGCAAAGGCGGACUAUGACAAACGGGCAUGUUUCUGAAAGAAUCUCGUCGGUAAUUCUACAUUUUUAUUUUUCUUGAGCAGACUUGGUUCCUAGCUGAACUGAAAUAUGCCUAGACAAGAAUUUAUUUAACUGUGUGCUUUUAAAUGACUGGAACUGGACUGAACUUGCCUAGAAAGAAUUAUUUGUUGUAGUUGUUAGUUGACUAGACCUUGAAAAGUUUUUAAAAGUCCAUAUUUUUAGAUUGGGAUUAUUAGCAUUAUGCAUAUAUUGCAGAAUCUGGAAUUUUGUAAUAUUAAUUUGAUUUCAAAAUCCUCAUGUGGGGCCUAACUUACUGUAACAGGUUUAUGACUAAUUAAUAAUAACACCAAAUUGAUAACACCAAAUUGGAUUUUGUCUUUAAUAUAUCACAAGGAGACUA